rnacentral:rRNA from 1 species
AUCCUGGCUCAGAGCGAACGCUGGCGGCAGGCUUAACACAUGCAAGUCGAACGGGCACCUUCGGGUGUCAGUGGCAGACGGGUGAGUAACACGUGGGAACGUACCCUUCGGUUCGGAAUAACUCAGGGAAACUUGAGCUAAUACCGGAUACGCCCUUAUGGGGAAAGGUUUACUGCCGAAGGAUCGGCCCGCGUCUGAUUAGCUUGUUGGUGGGGUAACGGCCUACCAAGGCGACGAUCAGUAGCUGGUCUGAGAGGAUGAUCAGCCACACUGGGACUGAGACACGGCCCAGACUCCUACGGGAGGCAGCAGUGGGGAAUAUUGGACAAUGGGCGCAAGCCUGAUCCAGCCAUGCCGCGUGAGUGAUGAAGGCCUUAGGGUUGUAAAGCUCUUUUGUCCGGGACGAUAAUGACGGUACCGGAAGAAUAAGCCCCGGCUAACUUCGUGCCAGCAGCCGCGGUAAUACGAAGGGGGCUAGCGUUGCUCGGAAUCACUGGGCGUAAAGGGCGCGUAGGCGGCCGAUUAAGUCGGGGGUGAAAGCCUGUGGCUCAACCACAGAAUUGCCUUCGAUACUGGUUGGCUUGAGACCGGAAGAGGACAGCGGAACUGCGAGUGUAGAGGUGAAAUUCGUAGAUAUUCGCAAGAACACCAGUGGCGAAGGCGGCUGUCUGGUCC